AGUAAUCCACAGGUGAACCAAUCAGAAAAAAAUGUUUGUCUUUGUCUGAUCUGCUGACCAAACCAGAGAGAGUGUUCAGUAUCAGACAGCUCACUUGUCACUGGUCACUGGUCACAGGUUACCUGUGAUGAUCCAAAUUUGUUUACAGGCAGCACCAUGGAAACCCCAGGAUUCUACUAGGUGCUGGUAGGCUGGGAGGGAGAAUGAUGUCAUAAAUCAAGCAGUAGCCAAUUGGAAGGUCAUAUUCUGAGCUCCAAGACAGGAUUGGGUGGAGAAGAUGCAUGCCAGAAGACCAGCUUCAUCCAUGAAGCCUGAGCUUUGAUCCUUGGACCAGCUUGAUCCUGCAUUCUUACAUUAGUGGGUGAUAGCACUGAACUUCCAGAAGCAGUGGUCUUCAUUUCAUCUGGCAAAUGCUUGUAAAGUGGGUUCUGCCCUUAUAAGUAAAGAACAGAGGAGUGAAAGAAACCAACAUUGUCCUACUGUGGCACUAUAGACCCAAGGUGAGUAGACCAUUGAUUGCCAGGACUGAGCAGAGGAUCACUCUGGGGGGGGGAGAGAGAGAGAGAGAGAGAGAGAGAGAGAGAGAGAGAGAGAGG
rnacentral:lncRNA from 1 species